UGGGGAAUCUUGGACAAUGGGGGCAACCCUGAUCCAGCGACGCCGCGUGGGUGAAGAAGGCCCUAGGGUUGUAAACCCCUUUCACCGGGGAGGAUGAUGACGUUACCCGGAGAAGAAGCACCGGCUAACUCCGUGCCAGCAGCCGCGGUAAGACGGAGGGUGCUAGCGUUGUUCGGAAUCACUGGGCGUAAAGGGCGCGUAGGCGGCUUUAUGAGUCAGAUGUGAAAGCCCGGGGCUCAACCCCGGAACUGCAUUUGAUACUGUGGAGCUAGAGUUCGAGAGAGGGAAGUGGAAUACCCAGUGUAGAGGUGAAAUUCGUAGAUAUUGGGUGGAACACCAGUGGCGAAAGCGGCUUCCUGGCUCGAUACUGACGCUGAGGCGCGAAAGCGUGGGGAGCAAACAGGAUUAGAUACCCCCGUAGUCC
rnacentral:rRNA from 1 species